CUCAGUGUGUGGAUUUGUCUCUGUAAACUAUUUACAAGGAGAAAGUGGAAGUGUUUAUAAAGUGUCUUACUGUCCAGAGAGCAACUGCGUCUUUAUUGAGUUGCACAAUGCGUCAUCUGUACAGUGUCAAGGUGGCUGUAACAUGUCAACAUAUGCAGCAAUGUGAGCAGGAAAGACAGGGAAGAAGAAAGCUGCUAGUCAACAUCCACAGAUGUAAACAAUGAGGGAUCCAAAAUACUUAAAACAUCAACUCUGCAUAUGUCCUGUGUGGAAGGAUGCAUUCAGCACAUUUCUUAAAGAUCAAGAAGACAAAAAAGGAGUUUGAAAGCAUGCGAGGACGGGCUGCUGUGGAUCUGAGGUUCUGAAGUUAUCAAGCCCUCAGGCACCUUCUAUUCAAAGACCCAGUCUCUUCACCAAGAAAAUCUUCCCUCCACUUUUAAGAGAAUAAAACAUUGGCGCAUUAUGAAUAUUGAAAGGUUAGACUUUGAAUUAAAAGUCCGAUGUCUGAUUCUGCCGCCGG